rnacentral:rRNA from 1 species
AACCCAAACUAAUAAACUUCCGGCGUAAAAAAUGUUUUAGAGAUAUAAAAAAUAAGAUUAAACUCUAUCUAAGUUGUAAAAAACACCAGAUAAAAUGUAAGUCAAUAACGAAAGUAAUCUUAAUACCUCUGAAUACAUGAAAGCUAAGACUCAAACUGGGAUUAGAUACCCCACUAUGCUUAGCCAUAAACAUAAAAGUUCACAUAACAAGAACUUUCGCCCGAGAACUACUAGCAACAGCUUAAAACUCAAAGGACUUGGCGGUGCUUUAUAUCCACCUAGAGGAGCCUGUUCUAUAAUCGAUAAACCCCGAUACACCUCACCACUUCUUGCUAAUU